UCCCGGAGCGCGCCUGCGCACUCGGCGCGAACAUGGCCGCCGCCGGCCGCCCGCGGUGAGUGGGUCUUCGCCCCCGGCUCAUCAGUCUCUCGGGUUCCUCCAAGAGGGCGACGUGGGAGUGAAGGGUGCGGAGUCCUGUCUGGGACAUGAAACUGAAAAUGAUAACUCAGAAUAUUCCUGAUGAAGAAAUAUCCUGUGAUGUAGAAAUGGAAGGAUUUAGGACAGAGAGUCCCUGUUUCUCCACUGUAAGUGACAGUUGGGAUUAUGAGAACCAAGAAGAACAUUUGAGGCAGUCAGCUUUAACCCAGGAGAAACCAGGGGCUCAGGAAACAAGUUGUGAAUGUCCUGGUUUUAGGGAGAAUGUGAAUGUAGACUCAGACCUUUCAACACCUCGGAGAGUUCCUAUAACAAAUGGCUUUCAUAUACAUGACUCAGAUGUUCAAAGUUUGGAUUGUGAUCUAACCCUACACAGUUGUCCCCAAAGUUAUACGGCUAAGAGAGCCAGCAACAGUGAUGCCUGCGGAAAAUCCUCCAACCAUUCCAUGGAAGUUAUACAACUUGGAAGAAAUCAAAUGAGAGAUAAAUCCUAUAAAUACCCCCAAAAUGUUAAAUCUUUCAAUCAUUUUACCUUCCUUGGUGAUCAGAAAAUAACAAAAAGAACCAAGAAACUGUAUCAAGGCAAGGACUUUGAGGACAUCUUUACCCUGGGUUCAUCUCUUGAUGAAAGUAGGAGGAGUUACCCUGGAGAGAAGCCAUAUAAAUGUACUGAAUGUGGCAAAUGCUUCAAACGGAAUUCCUCUCUUGUUUUGCAUCACCGGACUCACACUGGAGAGAAGCCUUAUACCUGUAGUGAGUGUGGAAAAUCCUUCUCUAAGAACUACAACCUGAUUGUGCAUCAAAGGAUCCACACAGGAGAGAAGCCGUACAAAUGCAGUAAAUGUGGGAAAGCUUUCAGUGACGGGUCAGCUCUGACACAACACCAGAGGAUUCACACGGGUGAGAAGCCUUAUGAAUGUGUAGAGUGUGGAAAAACCUUCAACCGCAAUUCUUCCUUGAUUUUGCAUCAAAGGACUCAUACAGGGGAAAAGCCAUACAGAUGCAAUGAGUGUGGGAAACCCUUCACUGACAUCUCCCACCUCACUGUGCAUCUCAGAAUCCACACUGGUGAGAAGCCCUAUGAGUGUAGCAAAUGUGGGAAGGCUUUCCGAGAUGGUUCAUACCUUACCCAGCAUGAGAGGACCCACACUGGAGAGAAACCAUUUGAAUGUGUGGAAUGUGGAAAAUCCUUUAAUCGCAAUUCUCACCUCAUUGUGCAUCAAAAAAUCCAUUCUGGAGAGAAACCCUAUGAAUGUAAAGAAUGUGGGAAAACUUUCAUUGAGAGUGCAUACCUCAUCAGGCACCAGAGGAUUCAUACUGGCGAGAAGCCCUAUGGCUGUAACCAGUGUCAGAAACUUUUCAGGAAUAUUGCUGGCCUCAUCCGGCACCAGAGGACUCAUACUGGUGAGAAGCCCUAUGAAUGUAAUCAGUGUGGCAAAGCUUUCAGGGACAGCUCCUGUCUGACCAAGCACCAGAGAAUUCACACUAAGGAGACUCCAUACCAUUGUCCAGAAUGUGGGAAGUCCUUCAAGCAGAACUCUCACCUGGCUGUACAUCAGAGACUCCAUAACAGGGAGGGUCCCAGCCAGUGUCCUCAGUGUGGGAAGACAUUUAGGAGGAGCUCAUCCCUUGUCCGACAUCAAAGAACACACCCUAAGGAGCAACUUGUGGAAACGUAAUUAAUCUGGGCCACCUUAUUCUCCCAGUUUUGCAGAAAAUUCUCAGAAACCUUCAUGAAAUAGAAACUGAUUUCUCAAAUGAGUAAUGAAAAUAAUUAAGUUACAGAGGAUGGACACUCCUGACCUAAGAGGAGAUACUGAUAUGUGGACUGGGAAAUUGGGAGAAGUCCUCUGCGGUGUUGCUGAGCUUACUGGAGAGAAACCUUGGAAAUACAGCAACAACAGAUAUGGUAUGUUAAAACGUUCAGAGAUUUAAUUUUUGCUAAACAAGACUGCGACACAUCACGAUGAAAGGUUUGGAAUAUUGGUGUCAGGGCUGAUAGAAGGGGUAAGGUGGCUGAGGGAGACUUUUCUUUUUGAUGUCAUAUCGCGUGCAAAUGUGUAUUCAAAAGUUAUUUUAAAAAAUCCGUGUAAGGAAUGUAGAAGUCAUUUAAACUGGACUCUUGUCUUUGCAUCAGAAGAUUCAGAUCAGGUGGUGGCAAGUUUAGGUUUUCAGUAGUAAGUCUUGCUGAAACUCUUAGAUAAAAAUAAUACAAAUUAGAACUAACCAAUCUAGAGUGUUUUUUUCUUUCAAGAUUUAUUUUAUUUAUUUGAAAGAGUUACAUAGAGAGGUAGAGACAGAGAGAGAGGUUUUCCAUCCGAUGGUUCACUCCCCAGUUGACCGCAACGGCUGGAGCCGCGCCAAUCCAAAGCCAGGAGGCAGGAGCUUCUUCCGGGUCACCCAUGUGGGUGCAGGGGCACGAGGACUUGUGCCAUCUUCUACUGCUUUCCCAGGCUGCAGCGGAGAGCUGGAUCAAAAGAGGAACAGCUGGGACUAGAACCGGCACCCAUAUAGGGUGCUGGUGCUUCAGGCUAGGGCUUUAACCUGCUGUGUCACAGCGCCAGUCCCUAUAGAGUGUUAAUAUAGGAAAAAACCCUCAAGAUAGUACCCCCUUCUAGGGCAGUAAGAAAAGUCAAACAAGACAGAAAAAACAUACUAUAUUCCAUAUAGGAAAGCUGUAGUCAGAUUUAAUCUUCCAGAGUGACUGAUAGAAAUAUAAUGUGACAGAGUGGGAACUUGGCACAGCAGUUGACUCCUGCAUCCCACAUCGUAGUGCCUUGGUGCAAGUCAGCUCCAUUCCGAUUCCAGCCUCCUGCACACUCUGGGAAGCAGUGAGUAAUGGCUCAAUAGUUGAGUCCCUGCAAUCCACAUGACAUACCCUGACUGAAUUCUCAGACAGGCUAAUCCCCAGUUGUUGUGCGCUUUGGUGGGUGAACCCGCAGAUGAAAAGAAAAACAAUGUGAGCCACGUUAUCUUGAAUUUGUUUCAAAGAUGUAUUUAUUUGAGCCGGCGCCGUGGCUCAACAGGCUAAUCCUCCGCCUAGUGGCGCCGGCA